UCCUAUGGAUGAGGCCUUGAAUGAUAUAAUCUACUUCUGAAGCUGACUUUGACCUCGUGUGUGGAUUAGAUUGGCUUUUGAAAUCCCUCCAACCUGAUUUUUUCUAAAUCUUGGAACUUCUUUUCUGUCUUGAUUAUUUUGACUCAUUGGCUCCUUUUAUUUCUUCUCUGAAUGAUCUAAAAAAAAAAAAAAAAAAAGCAUCUCCUCAAAUAUAUUUUUUAAGUAUAAGGAAGAUAAUAAGAUCCACAGAAUAACACAGAUGACCCAAGUGGAAAUUUUAGUAGUACCAUUACAUCAGAGAAGGGCUUUAAUUAGUAUACCUGAAGUAAAGAUAAUCAAUUCUGCCUGUAUCUGUUACAGACACAUGAGAGGGAUACUAAGCAGAUAGAGACCAUCAUUUGUUAAAGUAAAAGGUGUCUUCUUUAACCUUGCAGAGAUCUCUACUCCAAUACUUUGCUUCAUUUUUUGAGCAGUUUAGCAGGGCAGUAACUGUGGAACAACUAAGGAAGAAAAGUGCUUUUUUUUUCUAGGAUGGAAGAAGAAAGAAUUCAUAGAAGGAGAAUCUGAGAAAGCAAGAAACUAUAAUACUAAAUAUGUGAUGUUUUAAUAUUUACGUUGCUGGUGAGUUCAUUCUCAGGAACUGUACAGAUUUACCUUAGCCAGUAAUGAAGAACUUCACUCCUAGGGAAUUCAACUAGGAUCAGUGGCACUGAGCUUUGCUCUCACACAUAAGGGGACAGAAGAUUGAGGAGUUUGGGAUGCAAAUUUACUUCUCACCUGGAAGAUGUUUCUUUUCCAAGGAUACUAUCACAGAGGGUGCAUUGAGUGACUUGGGAUCUUCACUGCCUCAGAGUAAGUUUCCUCCUGAUAGGUGGUUUCUCUGUGAAGGUCUCCAGCCUACAUACUGCACAACCAGCAUGGCGGCCUACCACCAGGAUGAGAAUUCAGUAGAGAAUGGCUUCACCUGUCCUCACUGUCACCAGCCUUCUUGGGAACAGCCUCCUUCCAACAGACUUGAAAAAGAGCCUUUGGCCCAACUUAGUGCGCCCAUGUUCACAGAUGCUUGUUGCAGGAGGGAGCAGCCUGAAGUGUGAGCAGUAAUUGCUGUGUCUGGUUUGAAAAUACAAAACUGGAGCUAAUACAAAAAAAGUGACCUUGGAUUGUCAGACAUUUAUGAAUCUCUGCUUUCUAAAUACUCCUUAAUUUUGGAUCUCUUUGAGUAUGAAAGAAAUCUCAAAGAGGCUGAGAGAAAUGUGAAGGAAGAGAGGAGAAAAUGAAAGAGAAAAGCAAUCACUGUAAUAGAGAUGGGAGCCAAUUUUCUUAAAUGUCUAAGGGUCUUAUGAAAUCAGCUCUCUUGUAGGUUGAAGACACUUGGGAUGAUUCUCAUAAUUUACUCAAUUUACCAAGCAAAAAAAAAAAAAUACAACACAUUCUAAAAAGCUUGGCACUCAUUUUACUGCAGGCAAAACAGCCCUUAUUUACAAGGUCUCUUGCUAGACUAUGUAUGUCCUUUUCAGGGCGGUGGAUCCCUGGGGAAUUCCCCCUCACAUACAUUCCUUCUCAGCAGGCAGAGAGCAGCUAAUAUGCAAGAAUGCCUGGAAGGAGUAGCUCGUCACUGUGUUUGAGUGACAGCACGUAGACCAGUCAGUUUCCAGUAGAAAGACUGUCUGCUGGUAUUUCAGCUCUCUGAUUGGGAUUCUGCUUCCCCUCCAGUCUGGCCUCUUCUUGUCUGUUUGUUUUGCUAUCGUUUGUACGGAGAUCAUCAGAUGCAAGUACAUUUGACAUAUGGAGAUAACAGUCAGGAAAGGAAACAACAUAUGGCAGACAAUUCAUAUCCAUCAAGAUCUGUCAUAAAACCAUUUUUAGCAAUAGAAAAAGAAGGGUGGAAAAAGAUAGCAAGUUUGAAUUUAAAAUAACCAUGAUACUCUAACAAGCAGGAGGGCCUAGGGCUUGCUUUGCUAGAUGACACCCCUGGUUCACUGAAGCCAGAAGCAGUUGACACUCAGUGCUUCAACAGUAGGCUAAAAUCUUCUGCAGUGCAUUGGCCAAUUACUUCUUGACCAUCGUGGCUGAUUAAUGACUUGUUUCAAAGCCCUGAUAGAAGCUCAAUGUGUUGACUGUUUAGCCUAUUGAAGUUACUCUGGAGUACUCCUGAGGUAAUCCAGGUGUUUAUUCUGGAGCUGCAGGGGCAAGGGAGAAAGGCGAUGUGGCACCUGUGCUAAAGGGUGAGUAGUGCUGGAGAACCCAUCACGGUCCAGCUGUCCUCAUGUAUCUCUUUUGUCUUGUGACAUCGUCACAUAAGGGAUUAGGUAGAUGGGAUGAUCUAAGUCCUUUCCAGCAGGGCAAAAUCACAGAAUCACCAAGGUUGGAAAAGACCUACAAGAUCAUCCAGUCCAGCCAUCCACCUGUCACCAAUAGUUCUCACUUAAACAUUGCUAACAUUGUCUGCUAGAAGGGCAGCUCGCAUUUGUAUGAAGCAUGAGAUCAGGCUGUAGUCAAAUGAUGUGCAAGGGUGUUUAAAUAUGUAGCACUAGGCAUCAAGAAUACUCCCAGGAUUAGUGACCUGUGGUAAGGUGUGGAUGUAUCCUAGAAAUAUGCCACUCAAUUUCUUUAGUAAAAAAUGUUGAUACUUUAAUUUGGCUGAAUUGAAAUGAAAGCCCUUUUUGGCUGGAGAAGUGUUUUGAUAUGCUCUGUCUGCUUGAAACACGGCUGUAUUUGGAUUAAUGGAUUCUCAUGUAUCGAAAAGUUUUAAAGGAAUGAUGUCGCUUCCAGAGUAAAAAAAAAUACUAUGUAUGCCACUAAUAUAUAUCACAUUUAAUAGUAAUAAAUGGCAUCUCUUCAGUAGGCCACAACCAUUUUUCACCAGGGGAACAUCGUCUUUUACCAAAGAAAGUGGCCUUUUACUUUUGUUUGGUUUCUUUUUUAUGAGCCUUUGGAAGAGUUCUUUUGGAUCAAGAGGCUCUUUUAAGAAUAAGUAAACCUCUGCAAGGGAACGUUUACUUUGCCCAGGCUUUAGAGGUCUCACAGGCUCAGUCAUGGUAUCUCCAAUUUGCCAAGAGGAAAGAGCAACCUAAAGCUCCUUCUCAUAAAAGCAGAAUCUGAAAAAUAGAAGAAAAAUAGCCAUAAUAUAGUGAAAGACUUUCAGAGAGGUUCCUCUCUCAGUCCUUUUUCCUGAUGAUUUUUCACAUAAUUUUCAGUGUGACCAACUCCUGUUCUUCUAUGUGAAUUGCCUUCCCAUCUGAUAUUUACUCUGCUCCAGGUGAAGAACAAUUGAGCUGUGACAAUGGGGUUUGGUGGUAUGACAUCUCUGGAAGUGCAGUGAUGGCUAAUUUUGUUGGAGGAAGAAAUGAAAGCUCUCUGGGAUGGAAAAGGCCUGUCAGAUGAUUCAGGACAUCUGUCUAAGAAUGGAAUUUUUCAACCUUAUCCAUGGGUUAAAUGUGCUUUACUGAGCAGAGUUACAAGAGAGAGAAGCUAGGCCAAGUGCAUCUUCCGUUCCUGUCUGGGGAGGAUGAAGCCAUUGCCUGGUCUAAUAGGGUGUCAAAGCCCAGCCCUAUCUAGAGCCUUGUCACAGAGUCAGAACAGGGAGGUUUUAUUGUUGCUGGGCAUGGCAAUUCUUUACAGGUGCCAACUGGAAGGGUUUAAAAUGCAAAAUGGCAUUUCAAUGUUUAAGAAUAGCAAGUAAUUUGAUGGCUAUAAUAGAAAACCUUCCAGUACUUUAGCAAUGUGUUCCAAAGCUGCAUAACACUGCUGAUAAAAUUGCCUUUGGAUUCCUUGUCUAAUAUUCCAGCCUUUCUCUCCCUCAGCAAAACACAAUAGCUUGCACUAAGCCUCCCUGGGCGGGCAGCUAACAGCACAUUUACUAGACACUUCAAACAUUUGAUCAUAUUUCUCCUGAGUGUAUUUAAUAUCUGUUAAUGUCAGCAGCCCCAGCCUGAUCGAAAUACCUGCAUUGCUGGGAAAAAAUGUUUAAUAUAAAAGAUGACACGGGUAAGCAAUCACUUACUGAUGUCUUUUGGAAAUGGAUAGGUGACUACCUAACCCCCCCCACCUCACUCCCCUCCCCGCUCUGUUACCACCCUGCUGCUGUGUGCUUCUCUGAAUGCAUUAGAGUGGCUAUUCUGAGUAUGCAGGAGAUGCCAGGAAUAGUUUCAUGUUUCCUGCCUCAUCAAACCAAAUUCAAUCUGUAAAAAAUUAAUACACCCAGAAGGAACAGUUAAAAGCAUCUCCAAUCAAUUAAUGUUAAAAUGGGAGCUAGGAGGCUGAUUUGUUAAAGGAAACCCAAUCCAGCUCAGUGCUUGAGAGGCUGCUGGGGCAAGAGUACAGUCAGCUAGUCAAGUCAUAAUGUUUCCAAGGGGGAAAGCAAAUAAGGUUUAGGCAAAGGCUAUUAAUGCAUCAUUCCAACUGUUCAGUCUUGGGGACCCUAAAAAGACGCACUGUUUUGAGCCAGGCAAGAAGCGUCAGCAGAGAGUCUUUCCAUAGGGGAAUGGAUGGCACAUGCCCAGCUCUUUGCACUGGACAUCUGUGUCUUCUCUCUUCUCCCAGAAGGAACUGCAAAGGGAAAUACAAAGAUACAGCCAACAUCCUUGAGAUCUGAAUACUUAUAGAAGCUUUGUGUGAGUUGAGGUGAAAAGUGGGUAUGCCAUCCCUUUGGCCUAUGGACACAAGUACUGGAAGUCAAAAAAGGUGAAAGAGCGUGUUGGGAUUUUUUGCUGUUGUUUUCCCUGAUUUCUGAGCCUCUUUUACAUUCAACAUUCUCUCCACUAUGACAAGGGCUGGGCUUUAAAUUAGUUUGUAAUGGAAGCAAAGACUCAUAGCAUCUCUUGACUGCAGAGCUUGGUGCUUUAAGCUGCAGUUUGAAAGGCGUAUAGGGAAAGUUGUAAGAACCAGCAGUAAAAGGUUCUCAUAGUGAAAUUAAACAGAAAUCCCGCAUAAUUUUCAAAGAGGAGGAUUAAAUCUGUAACUCUCUGCUGUCUCCUACCUGAAAUGCCAGUCCUUAUAAAAGUGAUAACUGAAUUCCAGUUUGGUUUUGUUGUGUUUGGUUUUUUUAUCUCUAAUGCUGUCAGAUUGUUUCCAAAGUGUAGAAAAAUGCCAAAUUAUGUCUGAAUUCAAAUGAAACAUUCAAGUAUUUUUUCUUGCUAUGUGGCCUCUUAGAGGAAAAAAAAAAAAAAGUUGUUGUUUUUUUUUUGUAAAGUUAGGUAUACAACCAGCUGAAGCCUAUUAUUAUUUUGCCUCUGAUUAAUGUAGGUCACACUUUUCUUCCUUGCAGCUAUUAAGUAUUUAGGGCCAUUUAUACUUUAAUCCCUUGUCUUUUUCUUGUUUCUUUGUUGCUGUGUUACAUCCUCACAGUCAGACAGCAUUGAGAUAAGUGGUAGAAAAAUGGGAAGAGGGAGUUAACACAGUAAUCCAGCUUUGAAAUAAUAAAAAGAAAUUGUCCUGAGGUAAGUGCUUGAAUCCAGAGAGCUUACUGAAGGCAGAAGGGAGGGAAAAAAUAAGUGUGAUAGGAGAAACUGAGGCGUAAAGAGAAUAGAGACACUCUGUGACAGGACCUGAGUCAAUAUCAGGGUGCUGUAUUUGAAUUCUGUUCUUGUGAGAAAGGUUUAAUGGAACUGCAUUUCCCUGAGUGUUGACCAGAUGAGCCUGAGCUAGGAGUAAAGGGGGUCUACUGAAAGCUAUGGUAGUGUUGCUUGGGUGUAGGUAAGUAGUUCAGCUGGUGCUGAAGUUGUGCUGUCUGUUGGGCAACUGCACUCAGAAGGAGCUUCCAUGUUGCCCUUUGUCCUUCUGAACAGGAUCCCUGUAUCUGAGAAACGCAUCCAAUCCAUUCACAAAUCUUUGCCUGUGAGUUCUUUGAAGGAAAUGAUAUCAUCCAGGCUCACUUUUCCUGCAGAAGGGUGGACAUGAUGAACUUCGGAGCUCUCUUCCAACCUGGGCUGUUCUGUGAUUCUGUGAAACUUGCAGGCACUAGCACCAGCUCUGAUUGCAGAGAGGAAGAAUCUGUCUGAUACAGGGCUGAAAACAAAGGCAUCCAAACCUUGAGCUAAAUAGAAGAGGAAGAAGCCAAAAUCUGUGCCAGAGGUUUGACUGCUGGGUUUACUCAUGGCUUCAGGUCGUUUUCACAGGGCUAGGUCUGCUGGGGGGAUUUUCUGAGAAGCAUCUGAAUGGCUGAAUAGCUUCAGCGCUGACCCCCCGACCUGAGCAAGUCCUGCUGCUCACAGUAUUCCUGGAACGACACAGGGGCUCCUGCUGGAGUCAGGCCAGGACAUUAAAUGAAGCUGCUUUUGAGGGCAAGAGGACAGAUCUCCUGCAAAGAGAUACUGAUCGCUCUGCAGCAUUUGACUCUGCUGACCGUGAAUCCUUGCUGGGCCUCGUGAGGAGAGGGGCUGCCAUCUGGGGUGAAUUAUUUGGUGGGACAUACCUAGUUUGGCGUGAUGUGAACAUAUGCCCCAUGGCUAACUGUUGUGCUGUGCCACAGGGACCAGUGCUUUUCCCUUUUCUGCUGACCCAGUUGGGCAUAGAGUCACCAUUCCUGGAGGUGUUCAAUAGUUGUGUG